UACGGAGGGUGCGAGCGUUGUCCGGAAUCACUGGGCGUAAAGGGCGCGUAGGCGGCUCGUUAAGGGUGCGGUGAAAGCCCGGGGCUUAACCCCGGGUCGGCCGUGCCGACUGAUGAGCUCGAGCACUGUAGAGGCAGGUGGAAUUCCGGGUGUAGCGGUGGAAUGCGUAGAGAUCCGGAAGAACACCAGUGGCGAAGGCGGCCUGCUGGGCAGUGGCUGACGCUGAGGCGCGACAGCGUGAGGAGCAAACAGG
rnacentral:rRNA from 1 species